CCUACGGGGGGCUGCAGUGGGGAAUAUUGGACAAUGGGGGGAACCCUGAUCCAGCCAUGCCGCGUGUGUGAAGAAGGCCCUCGGGUUGUAAAGCACUUUCAGUGAGGAAGAACGCCUGGUGGUUAAUACCCAUCAGGAAAGACAUCACUCACAGAAGAAGCACCGGCUAACUCCGUGCCAGCAGCCGCGGUAAUACGGAGGGUGCGAGCGUUAAUCGGAAUUACUGGGCGUAAAGCGCGCGUAGGUGGCUUGAUAAGCCGGUUGUGAAAGCCCCGGGCUCAACCUGGGAACGGCAUCCGGAACUGUCAAGCUGGAGUGCAGGAGAGGAAGGUAGAAUUCCCGGUGUAGCGGUGAAAUGCGUAGAGAUCGGGAGGAAUACCAGUGGCGAAGGCGGCCUUCUGGACUGACACUGACACUGAGGUGCGAAAGCGUGGGUAGCAAACAGGAUUAGAUACCCGAGUAGUC
rnacentral:rRNA from 1 species